UACGUAGGUGGCAAGCGUUAUCCGGAAUUAUUGGGCGUAAAGCGCGCGCAGGCGGUUUCUUAAGUCUGAUGUGAAAGCCCACGGCUCAACCGUGGAGGGUCAUUGGAAACUGGGGAACUUGAGUGCAGAAGAGAAAAGCGGAAUUCCACGUGUAGCGGUGAAAUGCGUAGAGAUGUGGAGGAACACCAGUGGCGAAGGCGGCUUUUUGGUCUGUAACUGACGCUGAGGCGCGAAAGCGUGGGGAGCAAACAGGG
rnacentral:rRNA from 1 species